UUAAUUUGCCAUGUUUUCUAGUUUUCUAGUAUAACUUCUCAAGCUUUCUUGGGUUGUUCCUCUUGUGGACCACCAUGGCUGAUUUUGGACAGAUUUUAGAAUCUAUAGGAGACUUCGGGCUCUUCCAAAAGCUUCUUUUGUUUGCGCUGUGCUUUCCAAAUCUCUUUCUGCCUUUUCAGUUAUCCAGCCUUGUCUUCAACCAUGCAGACACAAAUCACCAUUGCAACACUGACUGGAUCCUGCAGGUGGGUCCCAAUCUGACGAAGGAAGAACAGCUUAAUCUCACUCUGCCCAGGCUCCCUGAUGGCUCUUUCAGUCCCUGUGAGAUGUAUGUACCCAUGGAUUGGGAUCUGUCUACUAUCCAGGAAUAUGGCCUAAACGAAACCACCACUUGCACUAAUGGAUGGGUGCAUAAUGAUACUAUUUAUGAGGCAACUAUUGUCACCGAUUUUGAUCUUGUAUGUGGCAAUACAAAUCUAUUUCGUGGAGCACAGACAAUAUUCCUCGCUGGAGUACUAGUUGGAGCUCUACUUUUUGGGCCUUUUUCAGAAUCGUUUGGUCGAAAGCGAGCUACACAGAUUCCUGUGGUGCUCAUGCUAAUAUUCACAGUUGUGACCGGUCUCUCUCCAAACUUUUAUGUGUACCUCGCAUCGCAGUUUAUUGUUGGUGUUGCUCUUGGAGGAUUUCGGAUUAACAGUAUUAUCCUAGCCACUGAGUGGAUUGGAGUCGCUCAGAGAUCCUAUGCAGCCUGUCUGAGUCAAGUCCUGGCCGCUUUGGGGCAGGUCAUGUUUCUUGCCGUUGUUUAUUAUGUCAGGGACUGGAGACUGGACCAGUUUAUAAUGGCGGGCCCUUUUGCAUUUGUGGUCAUCUACAUAUGGUUUAUUCCAGAGUCUGGCAGAUGGCUUCUUGUUCGUGGAAGAACGCCAAAUGCAAAAGAAGUCAUUCAGAAGGUAGCGGCGAUCAACAAACGUACAGUUCCAGACUCAUUAGUGGAGAAGGUCCUAAAUGAAAAGCCUAUUGAAAGAGAAGGCAUAAAAAUCCUUUUUGCUUCCCGUGUGCUCAGGAAAUAUUUCUUAACCAUUACCUUCGCAUGGUGUGCAUUAAAUCUAGCGUACUACAGCCUCUCUCUGAAUGUGGGGAAGUUUGGCCUUGAUAUUUUUCUCAAUCAACUCAUAUUCGGCCUUUCUGAGAUUCCUGUCCACUUCAUCUGCAUGUGGUCUUUGGAAACGGUUGGAAGGAAGGCAUCUCUGAUGUGUGCCCUCAUAGUAGGAGGGUUUCUCUGUCUACUGACGCUCGCAGUUCCACAAAGUAAUUACAUUGCCAUCGCUGCUCUUGCCACAUGUGGAAGGUUUCUCAUGAACGGGGCAGGCAGUAUUUGCAACGUUUAUAUUCAAGAACUGUUCCCCACCUCCAUUCGUCAGACGGCCACAGGUCUGGGCUCCACUGCCGCACGAGCUGCAAGUAUGUUGUCUCCUGUGGUGAAUAUGCUAGAGAUCUACCAUUUCACUAUUCCCACUCUGGUGUUUGGCAGCCUGGCAGUAGCGAGUGGGAUAACGGCCUUCCUGUUGCCUGAGACCAGAUGCACUGAGCUGCCUGGUUCAACAGAGGAGGCAGAGGGCAAGAGGUACAUGUACCAUUACAUUUAAAAGGUUUUCAUGCAACUGGUAAAAACAGUUAUAUUUAGUGAAAUUCUUACCAUGGGAGUGAUUUUUUUGUUUUAAAUUCAAUUGCAUGACUCUGUAAUACCUCUGUAAAGUUACGCAUUAAAGAAUUCGUUCGCUCUUGAAUUAAAAUUUCAGGUUUAAAGGAAAACAUUUCAGGAUUUUUCUCCAUAUAGUGAAAAAAGGGAUCAACAAUGGGGUUGAAGGUCCAAAUUGCAGUUUCAACGACUGAGCUAGGGCAAGAUAAGCAUUUGUGAUUAAAACGUAUAAUUUUUUUUUUUUUUUAGAAAAUCAAUUAUUUUACUAGGUAAGACCCUUAUUCCUUAGCUGGGAUUGUGUAGAGCCCCUGGAAGCUACACUGAAACUGCAAUUGAAGUUCAUUAUAUGGAGAAAAAUCCUGGAAUGUUUUCCUCAAAAACAUUUAUUUCUUUUUGAAUGAAGAAAGAAAAACAUCAUGGAUGACACAGGGGAGACCAAAAAUGACUAAUCCUGCACCUGGAGAUUGUGAAGAGGUCAAUGCGACCAAGUUAUAAGCUCUUCUUUCUUGCAAAAUUGUGGCUAGUGUUAUUUUGUUUUAAG